UGCCCUAUGGGUUGUAAACUUCUUUUGUACGGGACAAAACUUCUGGUCGUGACCGGAAUUGAUGGUACCGUGCGAAUAAGCAUCGGCUAACUCCGUGCCAGCAGCCGCGGUAAUACGGAGGAUGCGAGCGUUAUCCGGAUUCAUUGGGUUUAAAGGGUGCGUAGGCGGAAUAAUAAGUCAGCGGUGAAAGCCUGUGGCUUAACCAUAGAAUUGCCAUUGAUACUGUUAUUCUUGAGUAUAGUUGAAGUAGGCGGAAUGUGUAAUGUAGCGGUGAAAUGCUUAGAUAUUACACAGAACACCAAUUGCGAAGGCAGCUUACUAAGCUGUUACUGACGCUGAGGCACGAAAGCGUGGGGAGCAAACAGGAUUAGAUACCCUGGUAGUCCACGCUGUAAACGAUGAUCACUCGUUGUUGGCGAUACACCGUCAGCGACUGAGCGAAAGCAAUAAGUGAUCCACCUGGGGAGUACGGCGGCAACGCUG
rnacentral:rRNA from 1 species